AAGCGUGCGCAGGCGGUUAUGUAAGACAGAUGUGAAAUCCCCGGGCUCAACCUGGGAACUGCAUUUGUGACUGCAUGGCUAGAGUACGGUAGAGGGGGAUGGAAUUCCGCGUGUAGCAGUGAAAUGCGUAGAUAUGCGGAGGAACACCGAUGGCGAAGGCAAUCCCCUGGACCUGUACUGACGCUCCAUGCACGAAAGCGUGGGGAGCAAACAGGAUUAGAUACCCUUGU
rnacentral:rRNA from 1 species